UACGGGGGGAGCAAGCGUUGUUCGGAUUUACUGGGCGUAAAGGGCGCGUAGGCGGCCACGACAAGUCACUUGUGAAAUCUCCGGGCUUAACUCGGAACGGUCAAGUGAUACUGUCGGGCUAGAGUGCAGAAGGGGCAACUGGAAUUCUCGGUGUAGCGGUGAAAUGCGUAGAUAUCAGGAGGAACACCGGUGGCGAAGGCGGGUCUCUGGGCCGAUACUGACGCUGAGGAGCGAAAGCGUGGGGAGCGAACAGG
rnacentral:rRNA from 1 species